GACGAACGCUGGCGGCGUGCUUAACACAUGCAAGUCGAACGGAAAGGCCCUGCUUUUGUGGGGUGCUCGAGUGGCGAACGGGUGAGUAACACGUGAGUAACCUGCCCUUGACUUUGGGAUAACUUCAGGAAACUGGGGCUAAUACCGGAUAGGAGCUCCUGCUGCAUGGUGGGGGUUGGAAAGUUUCGGCGGUUGGGGAUGGACUCGCGGCUUAUCAGCUUGUUGGUGGGGUAGUGGCUUACCAAGGCUUUGACGGGUAGCCGGCCUGAGAGGGUGACCGGCCACAUUGGGACUGAGAGACGGCCCAGAAUCCUACGGGAGGCAGCAGUGGGGAAUAUUGCAGAAUGGGCGGAAGCCUGAUGCAGCAACGCCGCGUGCGGGAUGACGGCCUUCGGGUUGUAAACCGCUUUCGCCUGUGACGAAGCGUGAGUGACGGUAAUGGGUAAAGAAGCACCGGCUAACUACGUG
rnacentral:rRNA from 1 species